rnacentral:rRNA from 1 species
UACGGGGGGGGCAAGCGUUGUUCGGAAUUACUGGGCGUAAAGGGUUCGUAGGUGGCCUACUAAGUCAGACGUGAAAUCCCUCAGCUUAACUGGGGAACUGCGUCUGAUACUGGUAGGCUUGAGUGCAGGAGAGGAACGCGGAAUUCCAGGUGUAGCGGUGAAAUGCGUAGAUAUCUGGAGGAACACCGGUGGCGAAGGCGGCGUUCUGGGCUGCAACUGACACUGAGGAACGAAAGCCAGGGGAGCAAACGGG